rnacentral:rRNA from 1 species
UUUAUUGCUGAAAGAUGGCCUCGCGUCUGAUUAGCUGGUUGGUGAGGUAACGGCCCACCAAGGCGACGAUCAGUAGCCGGUCUGAGAGGAUGAACGGCCACAUUGGGACUGAGAUACGGCCCAGACUCCUACGGGAGGCAGCAGUGGGGAAUAUUGGGCAAUGGGGGAAACCCUGACCCAGCAACGCCGCGUGAAGGAAGAAGGCCUUCGGGUUGUAAACCUCUUUUACCAGGGACGAAAAAGAUGACGGUACCUGGAGAAAAAGCAACGGCUAACUACGUGCCAGCAGCCGCGGUAAUACGUAGGUUGCAAGCGUUGUCCGGAUUUACUGGGUGUAAAGGGCGUGUAUGCGGAGAUGCAAGUUGGGAGUGAAAUCCAUGGGCUCAACCCAUGAACUGCUCUCAAAACUGUAUCCCUUGAGUAUCGGAGAGGCAAGCGGAAUUCCUAGUGUAGCGGUGAAAUGCGUAGAUAUUAGGAGGAACACCAGUGGCGAAGGCGGCUUGCUGGACGACAACUGACGCUGAGGCGCGAAAGCGUGGGGAGCAAACAGGAUUAGAUACCCUGGUAGUCCACGCUGUAAACGAUGAAUACUAGGUGUGGGAGGACUGACCCCUUCCGUGCCGCAGUUAACACAAUAAGUAUUCCACCUGGGGAGUACCACCGCAAGGUUGAAACUCAAAGGAAUUGACGGGGGCCCGCACAAGCAGUGGAUUAUGUGGUUUAAUUCGACGCACCGCGAAGAACCUUACCA